rnacentral:rRNA from 1 species
GUGGGGAAUUUUGGACAAUGGGGGCAACCCUGAUCCAGCCAUGCCGCGUGCGGGAAGAAGGCCUUCGGGUUGUAAACCGCUUUUGUCAGGGAAGAAAUCCUUUGGGUUAAUACCUCGGAGGGAUGACGGUACCUGAAGAAUAAGCACCGGCUAACUACGUGCCAGCAGCCGCGGUAAUACGUAGGGUGCGAGCGUUAAUCGGAAUUACUGGGCGUAAAGCGUGCGCAGGCGGUUUUGUAAGACAGAUGUGAAAUCCCCGGGCUUAACCUGGGAACUGCGUUUGUGACUGCAAGGCUAGAGUACGGCAGAGGGGGGUGGAAUUCCGCGUGUAGCAGUGAAAUGCGUAGAGAUGCGGAGGAACACCGAUGGCGAAGGCAGCCUCCUGGGAUAACACUGACGCUCAGGCACGAAAGCGUGGGGAGCAAACAGGAUUAGAAACCCUUGUAGUCC